UUAGCAGAAAUUCCAGUGUUAACCCAAGUCAAAUAACAUACCUUUCCACUUCUCCAGAAUUUGUAAAAGCUAUUUAGGUCCUAUUUAUAAUUCAUCAAACAUUGACUGGACACCUACUGUAUGCGUGGCACACAACAGAAUCAAACAAGUAAUUUAACAUUUCAAAAGAUAACUACUAAUCUCACACUGGCUUAUUUCUAUCAAGCUGAAGAAGUAAUGAUCUUCUCAAAACAGUAAAUUUACACUUUAAUACUGGCUUUCCUGAAACACUUUGGCAAAGUUUCAUAAACAGACAUAUGUACAAUCAUCCUCUCUUAUCCGAGGUUCUGCCUCCUAUAGUUUGUUACUCAAAGUCAACUGCAGCCUAAAAAUAAUGAGGAAAAUUCCAGAAAUAAAUAAUUAGCAAGUUUUAAGUUGCAGGCCAUUCUGAGUAGCAUGAUGAAAUCUCGCGAUGUCCUGCCCGCGACUUGAGUCUUUCCUUUGCCUGCAUAUCAGCUGUUGGUGUGGUGGUUUGUAGAGCUUGGGUUCAGGUAACCCUUACUGUGCUUAAUAAUGACACCAAAGUGGAUGUCUAGUUAUUGUGGCAAUUAAGUUAUGCCAAAGGGAAGCUAUAAAGUGCUUCCUUGAAGUGAAAAGAUGAAAGUACUCAACUUGAGGAAAGGGAAACUAUCCAAUGCUGAGGCCUAUGGUAAGACGGAAUCCUCUCUCUUUGAAAUUGUGAAGAAGGCAAAAGAAACUUCUGCUGGUUUUGUUUUUCUUGUACCUCAAACUUCAAAAUUUAUCACCACAAUGCCUGUUGCUAAUUCACGUCUGACUCUUUGCGACCCCUUGGACUGCAGCACGCCGAUAUUCUUACUUCCCAUUAACUUUUCUUGAGGAUCCAGUAACACAUGAGCGUCUGAUUCACAGAAAGGGAUAUAUAAGGAAAAGUUCUGCUGCUGCUGCUGCUGCUAAGUCACUUCAGUCGUGUCCGACUCUGUGCGACCCCAUAGACAGCAGUCCACCAGGCUCCCCCGUCCCUGGGAUUCUCCAGGCAAGAACACUGGAAUGGGUUGCCAUUUCCUUCUCCAAUGCAUGAAAGUGAAAAGAGAAAGUGAAGUCGCUCAUUCGUGUUCGACUCUUAGCGACCCCAUGGACUGCAGCCCACCAGGCUCCUCCGUCCUUGGGCCUUAUUCUUAGCAAAUGUGCUGACCAAGGGAUUAAUCUGUGUUAAGGUUUGCCAGGCGGGGGCGGCAGAGAGCACUUGCAAAGAACAGUUAGCUGAGACCCUUAGGGCCUGGUGGUUGCCAGGGAACCCUCAGGACAUUGAAGAGCUGGGCAAGAUCAAUCUGUAAUGGGGAAAUCAACUGAAUGGAGAGGCUGCUAACUGGAA